ACAUGGGUGGGGGCCAUGUGUUUAUGCAAUGAGAAGAAUCCCUAAGUGCCUUAGUUCUUGGAAAAAAAGAAGGAAAAAAUCUUCUUUUCCUCGACUCCAGCAGCCGGGGAGCCCCACAGUACAAGCAGACAGACUGCUCUUGCCGCACAGACCGAAGUGUAUACAGACGCUGACACAGUCCAUGUGUGCCUGUUUGGACACUGUCGUCCAAAGAGAUUCAAGUCUGCCCCUCUUAGUGGAUUUUUUGAGCCUUGCGCGUCAGAGGCAGAGACAAAAAGAGAGAGUAAGUCAGAAAUGGACAGAAAGCGAUGCUCUGGGAGCACGAACUGAGGCCCCAGCCAACUCCCCAGAUGAGGUAACUUCUCGGCAUCCAGAAUCGGGUCUCGCUGGAGCAGAGGGAGAACCUCCCACCCCUCCCUACGGCCCCUCAUAAGGUCUCCAUCACUCGUCCACAUGCCACAGGACAGUUAGCUAUCAGAGGACAGUCAGUAAUCAGACCUUCCUGCACAUCAUGCCAGUGACGCUUUGGGUGGGUGUGACGGAGGGAGGAGCCAGGUAACUUCGUGGCUGUAUGGUUGGUUAAAGGGUUCUGCUGUGAAACAACGGAUGGUAACUCAAGACAAAAAGGCCAAACUGGGGAUGAAGCUAUCUGUGUUUGUAAUAAAGACAAGUAUGCGUCGUUGUGUGUGUCUGUGAGGAGGAAAACUGUGGUCAUUCCAGCGGACUUUAGCCCAGAGCUGGCCCCGGGACAGCGUUUUGGCAGCCUGCCAGAGGAAGCCAGGGCAAAUGACUAGCAGAUGGUGGAGGUGGCUGGCCUGUCAAGACCUGGCCUCUGUCGUGACGCACACGCCUGUGCUCCAUUUGGGUAUCUUCGCAGAUCGGGUAUCUCACUGAGACGGAAGGCCUGAGUUCAGGGUCUGAGAUGGAGGCUGGGGACACGUCGCUCGCUCCUGAUGCCGGCUAAUCUGGUUAAGGCUGCAUCAACUGCCAGCUCCUGUUUGGUCAUCCGAAGUGAGACUGAAAAUACCACCCAGCGUCCAGAUAAACAGCAGCCCUGAAUGGAAUUCAGUUUAUUUGCAGCCUCAACACCACGGUGUCUGUGUGUGUGUCUGUGUGUG